rnacentral:rRNA from 1 species
UACGAAGGGGGCUAGCGUUGUUCGGAAUUACUGGGCGUAAAGCGCACGUAGGCGGACAUUUAAGUCAGGGGUGAAAUCCCAGAGCUCAACUCUGGAACUGCCUUUGAUACUGGGUGUCUAGAGUAUGGAAGAGGUGAGUGGAACUGCGAGUGUAGAGGUGAAAUUCGUAGAUAUUCGCAAGAACACCAGUGGCGAAGGCGGCUCACUGGCCCGAUACUGACGCUGAGGCACGAAAGCGUGGGGAGCAAACAGG